rnacentral:rRNA from 1 species
UACGGAGGGUGCAAGCGUUAUCCGGAUUCACUGGGUUUAAAGGGUGCGUAGGUGGGCAGUUAAGUCAGUGGUGAAAUCUCCGAGCUUAACUCGGAAACUGCCAUUGAUACUAUUUGUCUUGAAUAUUGUGGAGGUAAGCGGAAUAUGUCAUGUAGCGGUGAAAUGCUUAGAUAUGACAUAGAACACCAAUUGCGAAGGCAGCUUACUACACAAUGAUUGACGCUGAGGCACGAAAGCGUGGGGAGCAAACAGG